GAUCCUGCUCAGAACGAACGCUGGCGGCAGGCUUAACACAUGCAAGUUGAACGGGAUUUGUGUGGUGCUUGCACCAUAUAAUGAGAGUAGCGCACUGGUGAGUAACACGUGGGAACGUACCUUUUGGUGGGGGACAACAUCUGGAAACGGAUGCUAAUACCGCAUAAGACCUGAGGGUGAAAGAUUUAUCGCCGAAAGAACGGCCCGCGGAAGAUUAGGCAGUUGGUGGGGUAAAGGCCUACC
rnacentral:rRNA from 1 species